rnacentral:rRNA from 1 species
UACGUAGGUGGCAAGCGUUGUCCGGAUUUACUGGGCGUAAAGGGCGUGCAGGCGGUUUGUUAAGUCCAGGGUGAAAGCUCCCGGCUCAACUGGGAGAGGUCCUUGGAUACUGGCAGACUUGAGGAGAGUAGAGGAGAGUGGAAUUCCCGGUGUAGUGGUGAUAUGCGUAGAUAUCGGGAGGAACACCAGUGGCGAAGGCGGCUCUCUGGGCUCUACCUGACGCUGAGACGCGAAAGCGUGGGGAGCGAACCGG